rnacentral:rRNA from 1 species
CUUACGGGUGGCUGCAGUGGGGAAUAUUGGACAAUGGGCGAAAGCCUGAUCCAGCCAUGCCGCGUGUGUGAAGAAGGCCUUCGGGUUGUAAAGCACUUUCAGUGGGGAAGAAAGCCUUGGGGCUAAUACCCUCGAGGAAGGACAUCACCCACAGAAGAAGCACCGGCUAACUCCGUGCCAGCAGCCGCGGUAAUACGGAGGGUGCGAGCGUUAAUCGGAAUUACUGGGCGUAAAGCGCGCGUAGGCGGUCUGAUAAGCCGGUUGUGAAAGCCCCGGGCUCAACCUGGGAACGGCAUCCGGAACUGUCAGGCUAGAGUGCAGGAGAGGAAGGUAGAAUUCCCGGUGUAGCGGUGAAAUGCGUAGAGAUCGGGAGGAAUACCAGUGGCGAAGGCGGCCUUCUGGACUGACACUGACGCUGAGGUGCGAAAGCGUGGGUAGCAAACAGGAUUAGAUACCCGUGUAGUC